rnacentral:tRNA from 1 species
CCUUGUAUAACUAAUGUAAGUGCCAGGUUCUUACUCUGGUAAUGUGUCUAUCACUGCAGGGU